ACAAUGAGGCAUUUCAGGGCUCAGUCGCUUUAGGAAAAAAAGCUGGAGCUAGCCACGCCCACCCACCCCCCACACAGGCUGCUAUAAGCUGAGAAGCUCCAACGUCAGGCUCAGAGUAGAGCUGCUGCUGGAGGACCAGCGGCUCUUUCUUUCAUGUGAUAGGUUGAUUUAAUCUAAUUUUUCCAUUUGUGACAUCACAAACGGGAUUUUUUUAAACCAGUUGGUUUAGGCACAUAUCCUAAAACCAAACACUGACAGAAAACAGAUGGAUGGACUUUUUUACCCUUGUGGGGUGUUUAUAGAGACAGUAGAGACCCACAUGGCAAAACAAAAGGAUAUAAAAGACCACAGACUGCGGCAGGCCAAGUUCGGCUAAUGCUCUCCACUUUUGAGUGGAGUGACGAGACCCCUCAUUUCCCCUCCCGUCUACAGUAUCUCCCUCCAGCCGGAGACCUGCGGUGUGGCUGAAGCCUCAUGAAGAACGACACGGACAGACCAGACUCUCAGGAAGCUCUCCCCAACAAACACUGCCUGGGAAAAACUCCUACACAGUCUCCUCCCUAUCAGCCAAUCACAGGUGGCAGGACUCAGGCACCAUCAUCCAUAAAAUUAUAUUAAAUAUGAAACCACUGUUUCUGUUUUGGGAGGGAUUUAAUGCAUGAGCUAGAAAAGACAAGAAAGAAUAAGACAAAAUAACAUAAUGCACUCUAUUGCUCGGGUUGAAAAUGGAGGAGAUAAUCCAGCAUGCGAGCAGGGGACAGAAUCAGACCCCGUGGAGCCUGUUAGGAAACAGCUUUAAUUCAUACCAAAUCAUCCCACCACAGCUGCCCUCCUCCCUCUGUUCCCAGGCAGAAUUCAUCUCAGCCAGAUACAAUGAGACUAACUUUUUUGUCAUUUAUAAAAGGCAGCUGUCCCAUUUUUAGCCCCACAAAGCUCCAGCUGAGUCAUAGUCAGACUCUGACAACAAACACAGGCAGAAAAAUUACAAUCAGCCAAACACAAUGAGAUCUAAUGGGCCAAGUAUAUGUACAAAAAUAAUAAUUGAGAAAGAGACAAGAACAGAAUGUAUGGCACAGGUUUAACCUCUACUUACAAUUUCAGUUGUGAAAAACACUGAGGCUGUUUCAACAAUACAUGGUAUUAAAAUCAGCUAGACCAGCAUUGUGUCUGGCCAAGAAAAAUAACAAAAUCCUGACUUCUUUUUAUAGUCAGGGUUCACAAACAGUGUGAGGUUUCAGUGAAAAUCGAACAAAACGGGCUGAAAGUCUCUCCUGCGGGCAGAAACAAAGAAUAACAGACAAACAUUAGUGUAUUUAUCAGGCCAACGUGCAAUGUGCUUAUAAUAUUAACAAGACAUCUGGAAGCUCUCCAAAAACAAGACGCUGACCCCAAAGUCAGCGUUUUCUUGUUCAGAUUUCUCUUUUUUUAACCAAUAAAAUAUACUUUUUACAUAUUUCUUGCAGUGCUGAAAGUAAAUAUUAGCGUCAAACUAAAACAAAUAAGAAGAUUAAUUAAUUUAAGUCAUUUGUUCUUCAAUUUAUACAUAAAAAAGCUGUCUCAAAUGAGUAAAAGUUUUAGUCUUCUCGUUUAUUUUAUUAUUUUUUUCCCUGCUGUCUGGCAGCUUUGUGAUGGAGGUAUGACUCUGAGAAGUGCAGAGUUAUCUUUUCCCAUUUAAAUGCUAAUGAGCAUGCUGCCAUAGCAGUCAAAGCGCUGCAGAAACAGUGUGAAUUUUUAAUAUCUUAUCGCACCAAAAGGUAACAGCUCUCCUGGUGAGGUGGAGGAAUGAGUGCAUGUUCCCUCAUUAAGUCCAACACAAUUGAUGUGUCCCUCCGAGUGUGUCACGGCACUUUCAACUGGUGUGCUGUACGUACGUGUGUGUGUGUGGGCUUUCACAUCUGUCUGUGUCAUUUAGGCAUGCAGAUGUGCACAGCAGCUCGUUUCUCCCCAUUGACGGUAAUGAACAGCUGUUAAUUGCCUCCUGAUCGUGCGGGGAAGCCAGAGGACAGAGGUGGAAGUUGUCACAGCCUGUUAAUAAUUACUUUCUGGAGACGUUGGUGGCAAAAGGUUGGAGGGAGAAGUCAGUAAAUGUAAUAACACCCUUAUUAGAUAAUGACCUCUGCUCAUCUAGUCCUGUAUUCCCCGCUGAGGUAUGCAAACCACUUGUGGAAAGAUUUGAUUUAAUAUUUGUAAAGUGCAUAGUCUGCAAAAGUGAGAGCAUGUAGCUGUGCACUUUUGUGUUCUCCAACAAAAUGACAACUUUCUUAAAAUAGAUUUUUAAAAC